CGCACGGGUGAGUAACACGUAUCCAACCUGCCGUCUACUCUUGACAGCCUUCUGAAAGGAAGAUUAAUACAAGAUGGCAUCAUGAGUCCGCAUGUUCACAUGAUUAAAGGUAUUCCGGUAGACGAUGGGGAUGCGUUCCAUUAGAUAGUAGGCGGGGUAACGGCCCACCUAGUCUUCGAUGGAUAGGGGUUCUGAGAGGAAGGUCCCCCACAUUGGAACUGAGACACGGUCCAA
rnacentral:rRNA from 1 species